GCUCGUGUCGUAAGGUGUUGGGUUAAGUCCCGCAACGAGCGCAACCCUCGUGUUUAGUUGAUGGCUGUCGUCACCAGCAUUUAGUUGGGCACUCUAAGGUGACUGCCGGUGACAAACCGGAGGAAGGUGGGGAUGACGUCAAGUCAUCAUGGCCCUUACCGCCUGGGCUACACACGUGCUACAAUGGUCGGUACAGAGGGUUGCCAAGCCGCGAGGUGGAGCUAAUCCCAUAAAACCGAUCGUAGUCCGGAUCGCAGUCUGCAACUCGACUGCGUGAAGUCGGAAUCGCUAGUAAUCGCGAAUCAGAAUG
rnacentral:rRNA from 1 species